ACUGAACGCUGGCGGCAUGGUUAAAGCAUGCAAGUCGAACGGAGCCGCAAGGCUCAGUGGCGGAAGGGUGAGUAAUACGAUUGAACGUACCCUGAGGUGGCGGAUAGGCAUGGGAAACUGUGCGUAAUACGCCAUGAUCUCUACGGAGCAAAGAUUUAUCGCCUUGGGAGCGGCAAUCGACCUAUCAGGUAGUUGGCGGGGUAAAGGCCCACCAAGCCUAUGACGGGUAGCAGGUGUGAGAGCACGGCCUGCCACAUCGGGACUGAGACACUGCCCGGACUCCUACGGGAGGCUGCAGCGACGAAUCUUCCGCAAUGGACGAAAGUCUGACGGAGCGAUGCCGCGUGUGGGAUGAAGCGGCUUUGCCGUGUAAACCACUGUCAGAAGGUAGAAACAAUGAUCACCUUCAAAGGAAGGGUCGACUAACCCUGUG
rnacentral:rRNA from 1 species